UUUUAUCAACAUGAAUUCUUAUGUUUAAUUGUCUACAAACAUUUAUCUCUAGUAACAGGAUUAGGUGUAUGGGAGAGAGAGAGACAGACAGACAGACAGACAGUGACAGAGAAAUUGAGCCAAAUUCUGCGAAUCAAGAUCGUAGAUUAUAAGGUUAAGUAUAUUUACCAAGAAAGAAGAACUCUUCAUGAGGUGAAGUUUUCUGAUAAGGUAGAAAAGAGUUUUUUUUUCUGCUCCAGUAACAGCCGAGUCAACUCAAGAACAAUCGUUAUAGAAGGCCUGAACACCGACCUUCAACGUCACCACAUGUGGGCUGCUUAGACCGAUAGCUCGGUGCCACGUGACAGUGCCAAUAUUUUCAGGCUGAUGUGAUUAAAUACCCCAGUGACCUAUACCCUAAUGUAAACAAAGUAGAUAUGUAUAUCUAUUGACCAACAGUGUUCCAGAGCGUUAAAGGACUCAUUAAGCAUACGAUGUUAAUGGUAGUCCAAAAGGGAACGUGUUUGGAUCGUGUUGGAAUUGACCAUUAAAGUACUUGGACUACUCACGGGUCAGCGAGCGUACAUAUUCUUUAAAAGUGAGAAAUAUAAACAAAGGGAGAGACAAAGAAACAGAAAGACAGAAACAAAGAGAGAACCAGAGAGUCAGUUACAGAGAAACAGAGGGAUAGAUCGUUGAUGGAGCGGGCCAAAAACAUAUUCUUGAUGUAGGUACUCUAAGAAUUCAUUGACUCCGAAAAAAUUCAGGAGAAAAUAGUCAUGACUAACUCUGCAGAUACAGAACAUUAUCUUAUAAUUAAUUUCAAUAGCGCAGUACAAUUCCUAUUGAUAACUAUGGAGCAGGCCUUUUUCUUGCUCAUCUUUUGAUUCCACUCUAGAUGCUAUUUAUAGAUUUUCGAGAUAAACAGUGUGAAACUCCUUUUAUCAUACAGCAAGCCUUGCAACAUUGAAUCAUACAUUACGAUGAUUACUUGACAAACUCACUGUCAGAAAGUGUUUUAUCACUUUUACCUAUGAGCCAUAUGACUUGCAAGUGUAGCAGGGCAGGCCAAGCAUUAGAAACUAAAUUAUGCAGGCCUAAUAAUUUUUUUUGUUGAGAUUUUAAAAAGAUUUUUAUUACAGACUCGAUCUGUCUGUGUGCUACACAUUUUGAACACGUUAUUUCUCCCACUUCCCAUUCUCGGAUCAAGUUGGAACUUUGCACAAAAUAUUCAUUGUUCCUAACAAAACAUGAAUCAAUCAAAUGGUAAAUUAAAUAGUUGUUUAUAAUUAAUUUUGUUUGAUAUUGAAAAAAGGGAAAUACAUCUUACAGUACUGAGAGAUAUGGUUUUAAAUGUGCAUUUUCAUAUUUUCUGUAUUUUUUUCUUUCGUCGGCAGGUAUAGAAGCAUAAAUAAUGCCAUCUUUUUAGUUAGAACUUAAAUAUCGGUUUCUACAUUCUAGUCUUUAUGAACGACCAUGAUUUUAGGGCAACUGAGACGCAGUUGUUUGUCGCUACAGUACUUCAAAGUUUCACCUCCUAGCAAAAAACGGAUAGAUAGAUAGAUAGAUAGGACUAUAUCUUGUUUUAUAAUGAUGUUUGUGUAAUAAUAAAUUACUAUAAAAAGUCACUUUUACUAUAGGUAGAAACACUCAUAUUAUAUUUUUUAAAAUUUUGUAACAUUUCACAUAUCACAACAGUUCAGUGCCAAAUAUAAAAGGUGAUUCUUUUCCUAGCAUUUAAAAUUGUGUUUUCCUUCGAUUGCAAAAUUAAUUUAAAAAAUGGGCCAGUAUGGGAUUAGGAAUGCCCCGGUUAUACUAGCCAACUUAGCUAAGCGGUCAUAUAACACACAGUGAAACAUAAAUAUGUAGGUGGAGAUCUAAAUGAAUUAAAAAUAAAGCGGCUGAUAUAUUUUUUUUUAUUACUUCUUCUCACUUAACGUAAAAAUUUAAUUUUAAUUAAUUCAAUUAUUAAGGUAGUGAUCUAUCUGAAAUUUUAGUCAAAUGUCUUGUCACACCACUCGAAUUUAUGUGUGAAAUUUCAGCUCAAUAGGACAAUGAAAAGUCACAAUAAACGAUUGAAUUAGAAGUUUUUAGCAGCUCCCGAAAGGGAAUAGCCGCUAUUAGUUUUCAGUGGUCUUCCCGUUUAGAUCUCAUAAACUGUAAAGAAAAAAAAAUGAUAAUCGGACAUCAGGAUAUUUUAGACCUUUUAAAAUUCUGAUGCAAUGGCUACUUUUAAUUGAAAAUGAUUUUUUGAAAUGUUAUUAUUGAAACGAUGAAAACAAGCUUGAAUAUUCCUGUUCCAUGGUUUAAUUAAACGGAACCACCUCUGAGUUUGUAUAAUAACACAAA